UUCGCAAUGCCCGAAAGGGUGACGAAGCGACGCCGCGUGGGUGAGGAAGGCCUUCGGGUUGUAAAGCCCUGUCAGGAGUUAAGAAAUGUAAGUGCGCUAAUAUCGCAUUUAUUUGACAAAGGCUCCAAAGGAAGCCACGGCUAACUCUGUGCCAGCAGCCGCGGUAAUACAGAGGUGGCAAGCGUUGUUCGGAAUUAUUGGGCGUAAAGAGCACGUAGGUGGGUUUGUAAGUCAGAUGUGAAAGCCUUCUGUUCAACGGAAGAAUUGCAUCUGAAACUGCAAGUCUUGAGUGUAGGAGGGGAGAAUGGAACUUCUGGUGGAGCGGUGAAAUGCGUAGAUAUCAGAAGGAACGCCGGCGGCGAAAGCGAUUCUCUGGCCUAUUACUGACACUCAGUGUGCGAAAGCUAGGGGAGCAAACGGGAUUAGAUACCCCGGUAGUCCUAGCUGUAAACGAUGGGCACUAAGUAGAGGGGUUUU
rnacentral:rRNA from 1 species